rnacentral:rRNA from 1 species
CCUACGGGGGGCUGCAGUGGGGAAUUUUGGACAAUGGGCGCAAGCCUGAUCCAGCCAUUCCGCGUGAGUGAAGAAGGCCUUCGGGUUGUAAAGCUCUUUCGCAAGGGAAGAAAACUUAUCCUCUAACAUAGGAUGAGGUUGACGGUACCUUGAUAAGAAGCACCGGCUAACUACGUGCCAGCAGCCGCGGUAAUACGUAGGGUGCGAGCGUUGAUCGGAAUUACCGCACGCAAUGUGUUAAGUCAGAUGUGAAAUCCCCGAGCUCAACUUGGGAACUGCGUUUGAAACGACAAGACUAGAAUAGGUCAGAGGGGGGUAGAAUUCCACGUGUAGCAGUGAAAUGCGUAGAGAUGUGGAGGAAUAUCAAUGGCGAAGGCAGCCCCCUGGGAUCAUAUUGACGCUCAUGCACGAAAGCGUGGGGAGCAAACAGGAUUAGAUACCCUAGUAGUC